rnacentral:rRNA from 1 species
UGGGGAAUAUUGGACAAUGGGCGCAAGCCUGAUCCAGCCAUGCCGCGUGAGUGAUGAAGGCCCUAGGGUUGUAAAGCUCUUUCAACGGUGAAGAUAAUGACGGUAACCGUAGAAGAAGCCCCGGCUAACUUCGUGCCAGCAGCCGCGGUAAUACGAAGGGGGCUAGCGUUGUUCGGAUUUACUGGGCGUAAAGCGCACGUAGGCGGAUCGUUAAGUGAGGGGUGAAAUCCCAGGGCUCAACCCUGGAACUGCCUUUCAUACUGGCGAUCUGGAGUUCGAGAGAGGUGAGUGGAAUUCCGAGUGUAGAGGUGAAAUUCGUAGAUAUUCGGAGGAACACCAGUGGCGAAGGCGGCUCACUGGCUCGAUACUGACGCUGAGGUGCGAAAGCGUGGGGAGCAAACAGGAUUAGAUACCCCCGUAGUCC